rnacentral:rRNA from 1 species
AGUGAACGCUGGCGGUAUGCCUAACACAUGCAAGUCGAACGGCAGCACAGUAAGAGCUUGCUCUUACGGGUGGCGAGUGGCGGACGGGUGAGGAAUACAUCGGAAUCUACUUUUUCGUGGGGGAUAACGUAGGUCAACUUACGCUAAUACCUCAUACGACCUACUGUUGAAAGCAGUGGAUCUUCGUACCUUGCGCGAUUGAAUUAGCCGAUUUCGUGUUAGCUAGUUUGCGGGGUAAAGGCCCACCAAGGCGACGCUCCGUAGCUGGUCUGAGAGGAUGAUCAGCCAAACUGAAACUGAGAAACGGUACAGAGGCCUACGGAAGGCAGCAGUGGGGAAUAUUGGAAAAUGGGCGCAAGCCUGAGGCAGACAGACGGCGUGGGUGAAGAAGGCCUUCGGGUGGUAAAGCCCUUUUGUUGGGAAAGAAAAGCAGCAGGUUAAUACCGCGCUGUUCGAAGGGAACCCAAAGAAUAAGCACGGGCUAAUUUGGG